UAUGUCUUCCUUUUUUUCAAA
rnacentral:piRNA from 1 species